AAAAAGGUAAGCUAAAAUAAGCUAAUGGGUUCAUACCUCAUUUAUAAAGGUACAAGUCCUUUCCUCUUUA
rnacentral:tRNA from 1 species